rnacentral:tRNA from 1 species
AAAAAGGAUUAUGAAAUAAAGAAACUGCUAAUUAUCUGAGCCUAAAGUUAAAAUCUUUAGCCUUUUUA